GGGUGGGUGGAAGAGAAUGGAGAAAGAGAGAGAGAGAGAGAGAUAAUGAGAGUCAGGAAGGAAUUUAGUCAAGGGAUAAAUAGAGGAAAACAGACAAACAGGCUGAUAGGUGGACAAACAGAUAGUGUGUGUAUGUGUGUGUGAGAUAGACAGAGAAGAGAGAGAGAGAGAAAGUGAGAGAGACAAAGAGAAAUUGAGAAAUCCAUGGAUGAAUGGCAAGUGAGAUAGAGACAUGGUGAAACAGAUAUCUAGGCUUAUGGAUAGAUCUAUGGCCUGGUAGGUUAUAUAUCAACAUUGAAACGAUUAAAAACAAAGUCGACCUCAGUCAGUGGGAUUUGAACUUAAACUGCAGAGAACAAAAACAAAUACUGCAAUGACCUAACAAUUGAGCCAAGCUAUGAUCUGGAGUAGGGGAGGUAUUUUAUUUAUCAGUGUCACAUAAAAAGUACUGGUGCUGGUGCCACAGUAAAAAGCAUUGAUGUUGGUCCCACAUGAAAAGCACUGGUGAUGGUGCCAUAUAAUGAAAUAAGCACAAAGCUUAAAGAAAAAAAGUUACUAGGAUCAAUUCAUGUGACUAAAAAUUCUUCAAGGCAGUGCCCCAGCAUGGCCGCAGUCUAAUGACUAAAACAAGUAGAAAUAAGAUAAAAGAACAAAAGAAAGAAUUCCGUCAGUGAGAACCUCUAUGAGGCAGUCUGACCUACUAGAAACAGCAACCAAAUCUACUUUAAAUCACACUCUUACUCUCUUAAAACAGACCUCUCAUGGUCAGUGUUAACCAUUUAUUAACACAUCUAUGAGCAAGUCUGGCCAAGAGUUUUUGAGAGAGGCUGGUAGUUUCCCAUAUAUGAAAGUCUCCCCACGCCCCUCUGCACCAACUUGAGUUUGGCAUCUGUAUCAGAAAACAAAGAACCAGAAAAGAUACCACAGGGCAUAGGUCCAAUCCUCCAACAGUUUUUUCAAUCCACAACCCUGGGCUGCUUUUUUUUUUAUCAACUACAAAAUGGAUGAAACACAGUAAGAGCCUUGGCAGGAUUUGAACUCAUGCUUCAGUGAGUCUGAACAAAUACCACAAGGCAUUCUAUUUGAUCCUUUCUUAAAAUAGGGCAUAUUAAAUGAUAGAGUCCUCGUUAGUCUGCUAUAGGGUUGGUUUAAUGUAGCCCACUUCAUUUUAGAUGAUGGUGAUGGUGGUGGUGGAUGGAGGGGAGAAUUGAUGUAUGUUUCACUGGCUCAUCACAAUCACAAAGUUCUGGGUUCUAUCCGCAUGGUGAGGCAUCUUAAAAAAAUGUCUUGGCAUUUCGAUGGGCAUCCAGCUGUAACAACCCAGCCAAAACAGACCUUGCUGGUGCUGGUGCCACAUAAAAAGCACUCAGUCCAUUCUGCAAGGUGGCUAGUGCUAGGAAGAGCAUCCAGCCAUAAAAGCCCUGCCAAAACAAACAGUGAAGUCUGGUGCAGUCGUCUGCCAAGCCAGCUCUUGUCAAGGAUUAUUAUUUCAUUGUCUGUGGAGAGUCAUUCUCAUUUAGUGCCUUAUUAUUACUUAUUUCUUUAUUGCCCACAAGGGGCUAAACAUAGAGGGGACAAACAAGGACAGACAUAAGGAUUAAGUCGAUUACACCGACCCCAGUGCAUGACUGGUACUUAAUUUAUCGACCCCAAAAGGAUGAAAGGCAAAGUCAACCUCGGCAGAAUUUGAACUGGGAGCGUAAUGGCAGACGAAAUACCACUAAGCAUUUUGCCCAGUGUGCUAACAUUUCUGCCAGCUUGCCACCUUAUUAUUACUUGUGGAAAUCAAAACAGUGAGUGUGUU
rnacentral:lncRNA from 1 species